rnacentral:lncRNA from 1 species
GACAACAAACUGAAAAUAUGCUUUGUUAACAAAAUGGCAUUUGCAAAUGAAACCACUAUCAUGGCAAUGACAAUCUUAAGAGAACAAAAUCAUAUUUACAAAAUAAAAAAUAAUUACUAAAAAUUUACUCGAAUAAAAUAAAUACCAGCAACUCGCAAUAAUAAGGACAGAGCCAAGAGAGCAGCAACAACAGAGGCAGUUAAGAUCGAGCAAUAGUGGUUAAGGCAGAGACAGAGCAGCAGCUGCGUGCAAAGAUGAAGCAGCAGCAGUGGCAGAGAGGGAGCAACAGCAGUGGCCUAGAUGAAGCAGUAGUGGCAGUGGAGACAGAGUACAACAAUUGAUAUGGGCACACUGAGAGAGAAUAGAUCGGGAGAGAUAAGAAGAAAGAGAGAGAGCGUUGUUGGAUGAAAAAUGAAAAGACAAGGAUCGAAGAGGUAAGGAAAGAUUUUUUUUUUAAUUUUUUUUUGUAAUAUGUGUUAUAAAAGUGAAUUUGAAUUUAUUGUUUUAUAAUUUAUUUUUUUGAAUUCAACCCACUAAACAUGCAUUAUAUUUGUACUUUUUAAAACGAAAAUGAAAACAAAAUCCCAAAAAUGGUACCGAAUAUGCCCUAAAGUUUUCAAGAUUUUGUGCCAACAUCUUUCUUCAUAAAUUCUCUCAGCAAGAAUUACUAAUCAUCAUCAUUGUGUUACAGUAUCCACUUGCACAAGUUAUAAUCAAGAGAGAUGAAUCAUGUUAGAUUCAUCAACAAAGACAAUAGAAAAUAAGAUGGAUUUUGAAUUUUUGUUAAAGCUCUUAAUUUUGAUCAUUUGUUAACAUAGUAGAGAGGAGUUUCAUUGAUGAUGAUGAUGAUGAACCAAUUUUUAGACUGUUCAACGAGAAAAAGACACAUAACAAAAAAUUAAAAAAAGAAAUUCUACUUAUUUACACCCGAAUUUCAUUGUAGAUGAUGAAUAGAGUGUUGGUACAAAAAUAUAUCUAUGUGAUUAUCUUUUAUUUAAAAGAGUUUAAUUCCUUAUUGCUUAUGUGAUAUAAAGCAAAUGAAUGUUAAAUAAACAAAAAAAAGUAGCUUCAAUGAGAAUGUCAAGUUAUGUCUUAUUGAUUGCAAUUGGUUAAUUACAACUGUAAUUGAAAAUGACAAAAAAAAAUCCAGAAAAACGUAAAGAUGAGGGGUUGAAGAAAGAGGAAAAAAAAUUACUUUAAUGAACUAUAAAUACAGGAGAGAUUAAGGGGUGUAAUAAAAAAAGAACGAAAAGAGGGGUAUGAUUCACCCGUUGCACCAUAGCUCCAUCCAUUUCAUUUAUUUUGUGGAGAGAAUCAUGACUUCAUGAGAAAUUUAAAUUGUUAGGUAAAGUUAAGUCCCCUGUGAAGCCGAGUAUUUCCAUUUCUUGUUUCUGAAUAGUUGAUAAAAAAUUAAAAUAUUUCAAAUUUUGAAAAAAAAAAAUACAUUUCAUUGGAAUAUUAUGACUUGUCCACCUACUGUUUUCUUCAAUUUUAAAAACCCCAGAAAAACUGAACUUGUUCGACAGUCUGCUUGAAGUUUUAUAAAUUGCAGCAAUUUUUCUUUUUUUGGGUCAACAAUGUUGAGAAUUUUUCAGUAAAAUGGUUAUCUUCUCCUGAAGCGUAAUUAAAUAAACAAUGGGUAGAAAAUUAUUACCCAUUCAAUUGAAAAUUGAUACUUUCAACAAACGACAAUAUGAUAUAUCUAAACUACCAUCUUUUUGACAUCACUAAAAGCUUACAUUUGUUAAUAGCACAAAGUAGAAAAAUGACACACUUUGUAAAUUAAAAAAAUUAGGGUUUUUUGGAAUAGGAGUAAACAAUGGGAGUAGAACCAAUAAUGUUAUCUAAAUUAUACUCAAAAGAGAAAAAUGAUAACAUUUAAAGGAAAAAACGAAGUCCAAUGACAGUUAUAAGAUGAAAUUUCUCCAAAUAAGUAAAACUAUCACGUCAGAAUAUCAUAAAAUUAAAGUACUUUAAACAUAGGAUGAUAGGAUUUUACAUAAGUAUAUAUCAGCAUAUCAUCUGUGGUGAUGAUGAAGAUAGUUAUGCAUAAAAGCAUACUGAUCGUUUUACAGUACAUGAAAACCAUAAUCUACAUUCUAGAACCCCCCUCCUCAUACGAGCAGGUGAUGAUCGCUGCUACUACAUAAAAACUUGACAGUAAGUAGAUCAUUACGCAGCCUCAGCAAAGCCGAUCCGGAGCUUACCAGAGUCGAAAACAGUGUGAUAAACCCCCAUGAAUACAUCUCCCAGAAUCCUGCAUGAAUAAACCAAGGAAUAAACAAAAGGGAAUGUCACAAACUUGACUGCAAAAAUGCAGUUUACGAUGCAGCUCUAAGAAGUUUCAGUCAGAGAAGGUGACGUACCACAGAGGACCCCUUGGAGGAGGCAGGUCGAAAGCCAUGAAGCCACUGAUGCAGACUUCUGCAAUCCCUUCUCCGGUUUUCAGAAUAUACUGCAGCACGUAGCACAAGAAUUCACAAUAAAAAAUAGAGGGAUAAGUAUGCCAAUGUGCAUUUUUGCUAAGAAUAUAAAGAUAAAGAUAUUAGAUUCAGUCAUUGACACACAAACACAGAGUCACAUCCUGUCAUGAAAUCAACAAAUUGUUUUUUUUUUUUUUUGGUUGUAAUUAAUUAAACCUUCAAAGCAAAAUGUUUACUACAGAUGUUAUCACCCAUUGAAGUGGAACGGUCCCAUUUGAUAAGUUAGAAGCUUAAUCAAGAUUCUCUCAAGUAACAAUGAGCAGGAUGGAUGAUCAUAUCAUUUUAAGCACGGUUCUAAUCAGUAUAUGGUUAAUUAUUCUUCAUGAAUUUUAAUUCACAAUGCAAUUAUAUCUAACCAAAUUUUAAAAGCUGGCAUUUGGAAGUUUAGAUCUUUUCUACAACAUUUUCCCAAAUAAAUUUUAGAAUAUUGGAUCAUUCCCUAGCCAGAUAGUUUCUAAUCUUAAACCAUUAUUUAUAAUUUAGGGGCAGCAGGAGCAGCAAAAUUGAUAAUGACCAAUAAGAAAUUGAAA